UCCGAGCAACAUAGGUCUUCUGCAUAAUGCAGAAUAGCAUCAGGGUCUUAACGAGUGAGGUUUCUAGAGUUUAGUCAGCUUUUUAACCAGUGAGGUUUCUGAGGCAGUAAGGGACAUGAAAUUUCAGUUUCCUUAUCAUAAUAUAUAGGUAGAGAGGUUGUUUCCAAAGGUCCUCGACUCAAGUGCAGCAGAUCAAUGUAGUUAUGAAAAGGAAAAACAACAGUGAAGAAAACAUAACAACUAACAAUGAAAGGAGUGCAGCGCAUUCAGAAAAGGAACAGUAACAACAACAAAAUAGUGCGAUAACUGAAAACACAACAAACAACAAAUGAUGGUAGAUAUCAAAAGCGAGAAACUACAAGAAUAAGACUAAUACUACGACAGACACCACCAAGUCUAAACCGCGUUAGCAAGAUCUAAUUGUUCAAAUAUGAGUUUUCAAAACCAAAAGGUACUAGAGAUAGUUCGAAGAGUACUUACAGGGAUAUCAGUAAUAUCUCCAAUACCAAAGACAUUGCUUCGACCCUUGACCUUCAAAUCAGAAUCAACCAUCAACCUUCCAUGAAUAUCCAAACUACCUUUCAAGACGGUUUCUUUUAGCCACCCUGAACCUAUCGGCUUUCCAAUGCAAAUGAAAUGGCAUUCAGCAUCUAUAGUUUGUCCACCAGAUGUUUUGUAAACACCGUCUUUUGCAGAAUUUACAUCGACAGAUUGCCCCAAUAUGAUCUCAACCUUCCUUGAUUUUAGCCAAUGCACUACCUUAUUGCUAGCACUUUCUCCUAUAAAUUCCAACAACAUUGAUCCCCUAUGCACAAUCGUCACCUUCUUAUCGGGAUAAUCCACAGCAAUUUCAGCAGCCAGUUCCACUCCUGUUUGUCCUCCCCCGAUUAUUAAUAUGGAGCUGGCAGAUUUAAUCUUUUGAUGAUCUGUAAACCAAUAAAAAUUAGUAGAAAUGAAGCUAUUGAUGAGUACGGUUACUCUGUCCACCACGGCUAGAACAAAUAGAAAGAAAUCAUCUACUGUUUUUUUGUCUCUAUUGAUAUCUGUCCACCGGAGAAAGUGUAUAAUUUCACUAGUAAAGUCCCUCGGGAAGGUAUACAACAACUACAACUCAACCACAAACUAUUUGAGUAGCAAAGGUUUUAAAAAAUAAAAGAUUAUAAUGCAAACUACGAGUAUAUCGAUUGAUCCAUGAUGCUACCUGUUUGGUAUUGAGAAAACUUCUCAUCUUUCGUGUAAGCACCAGUUUCCGAGUGACCAGUAGCAAUAACAGCAAAAUCAUACGCAACUUUGUCGCCUUUUGCAGUUACAACCUCUGUAUCCGUGAUGUUAGCAGCAGCAGAUGUAAUGACAUUUCCAUGGGGAAGGUAUUCGGAGUGACUAAAGACGGCUCGUUUUGCAAAUGAAGGAUCACACAUUGACCUUAAUGCAGCCCAAGGAAUCUCAAAAUACUCCUUCCUGUUCAUAUUUUUCGUAUUCUGUUAAUUAAAACACACUACAAAUAAUAAAUCCUUGUAACAUCUUAAUGAAAACAGCUAAUAAGUGCUUCCAUCGCAUAAUUGAUUACAUAAUAAGCUAUCCGUUAAGAAAAUGGACCUUGGACCUAACUCAUGAGGCGAUUGCCAAAGACAGACCAUAUAAGGAGACAACAACAUGUAACACUCCCUUCCCUAGAACCCCACGACUGGAUAUAUAGAGCGUGAACAACAUAAUAUGUGAACCUUAAUAGGGUAAUCAAGAAUAUGAAUAGGUCUGACUCUGAUACAACGUUCAAAAAUGGAUAUUAAGCUUAACGCAAAUCCCAAAAGUUCGGUCAUGAGAUGAUGAUUAUCCAUACAUAUAUUAGAAAACAACAACAAUCCAUUCUCUCAAUCAAUGGUAUCAACUACGCCUCAAUCUCAAACUAUCUAUAAUCGGCCAUUUAACUAAUGAUAGAACGACUCAGGCUUAUAGUCUAGUUGUACCCGUAGGAGCCUCCGAUACAAUAGGUGUAGGUUCAAUUUCCACGAUCCCUUCUCCCACCCCCCAUUUAAUGAAGAAAAGAAAAAACAAAACAAAGUGCUUUGCGAACCAUGAGAGUCAAAUUCCAGCAAAGGCAAAAACAUUAUUCUCUCUGUCCCAAUCUAUAUGGACAGUUCAAAUUUCGAGAGUCAAAUUUCUUAACGUGAAUUCGGACACAUAAUCUUUGAGUUAAAUAAAAUAAAAUUCAUAUAUUUGAAAACUACAUAAGUCAAUGAUGAACAAUUAUUCAAAAUACUCAAAAGACAUAAAACAAUCAUAGUCAAAGAGAAACUCGUUUGACUCUCGAAAUUCUAAAGGUGCCACAUAAAUAAGGACCGAAUUAAGGAGUAAGCGAUUCCUUCUCAUCCAUCCAAACCUUGAUGAACAGAGUUACCCAUUACCUAUACUUAUGCAACACAACAUGUACUCGUGAUGCGUACAAGCUGACCCAGACACCACGAUUAUCAAAAUUUUUAUAACAAAUUCAUAAAAAAAAAAACUCACAUAUCAAUGAGGGUAACAUUGGCUUCAUCUUGAAGACUCCUUGCAAUAAGAGAUCCAGCAACUCCACCUCCAAUCACCACUACUCUUUUCUUCUCUCCCUCGGAAUCCGCCAUGGCUCAAUUCGACAAUGCAGCAUAAAAAAACUAAACAACACAAUUCCCCUAAUACCCAAAUGAUCUCUACAUAGGUACAUACAAAGAGGGAACAAUCUUGAAAAAAUUUCAAUUUUUUUUUAUGGAUUUGUUCUUAUGAAAACUUGUUUGUAUUAAAAAGAAAAAAAAUGGUUAUCGGCGAUAGCUAUCGCCGAUAACACCACAACUGCUUUGUCCUAAAAGGGGGGACUGAAGGAUUGGGAAGACGAUGAAUAAAUAGAGUUAUAAUAAUAAUUAUAAUAAAGGUAAAACAAAAUGUGAAUGGUGAAGAGUAGAGAAAGGGAGCUCUGUUUUUUGUUUUGUUUUGUGCAUGGCAGGUUUUGCUUAUUUUUAGGAAAAAAAUGAUUGAAAAUAUUACACAUAAGUUUAUAUAUAUGUUAAUAAGGAUAAGUCUUGUCUUUAAAUGAUGACAUAAUACGUAAAUGUACUCUUUAACAUGGUCUUAUCUGAUAUGAUAUUUAUGCUCUGUAACUUUGGUGUGCAUAACUAGUCAGUUAAACUUGUACAUUUUUGAUUACUCUAUUGUGUAAUUUAAUCAUCUCGGUUUCUCUUUGAUGUCGAUUAAGUUCAUUUUUUUAAAUUAAAACAUCAUAUAGGAAUUGUAUUGUUAUAUAUUAUGUCUCAUUUGAUCCUUCAUUUGUAUCGAUAUACUCAUGUUUAACGUGUGAUAAGGGUGUCAAAAUUUUGAGCUAUUUUUUACAAACGUACUUAAUUCCAUGCAAUUGUAUUGGAUAUUGACAAUCAAAUCUGUCUAUAACAACGUUAUUUGUUCGGAUAGUUUUUGGUUCUAUAGCGAAAUGUCGUUAUAGAGAUCACAUAUAACAUAACAUAACAUAACAUGGAAAAUUGGUUCUACAAGAACUCAUCGAUCACUAUAGUGAAAUGUUAUUAGAGAAUAUGACUAUUAUAGAAAUGUCCGAGCAACAUAGUCUCUAUCACCAACAUAGUGGAAAUGUGAAGUAUGAGAAAAAGUAGGCGAAUAAAUAGACAUUCUUCCAAUAUUUUUAAGUACUUUUUUUGUCCACAUUGACCAAAGUAGUAUACACAAUUCAUUGGAAAAGUAAAUAAAUGCGUACACUCUAGCCUUUUCAGACUUCACUUUGUGAGAUUACGCUGGAUAUAUUGUUGGUUUAUAUGCCUUCAAAACAAGGUUGACAA
rnacentral:lncRNA from 1 species